UGGGCGCCGCCCGCUACGGGACGCGCGAGCGGCUACCAGCAACCCGACAAGCCGCACAGGCGGCUCCCGCGCGCGCCAGCGUCCAACGCUCUCGUCUCGCACAGUGUCUCCUCUCCCGCUCGCGUUAUCAUCAGCCGGCUGCUACUCUACCCCGCGCCGCUGCAUUGCUUUGCGUUGCCACGGAGUCGCCGGAAAAUUGUGACGACGUGAUGCUCCGGGGAGUCCUGUCGCGUGCACACGGCGCCGACGCGGCAGCGAUGAAGCCCAAGCGGG
rnacentral:lncRNA from 1 species